rnacentral:rRNA from 1 species
GGGCGGGACACGUGGUAUCCUGUCUGAAUAUGGGGGGACCAUCCUCCAAGGCUAAAUACUCCUGACUGACCGAUAGUGAACCAGUACCGUGAGGGAAAGGCGAAAAGAACCCCGGCGAGGGGAGUGAAAAAGAACCUGAAACCGUGUACGUACAAGCAGUGGGAGCACCCUUUGGGGUGUGACUGCGUACCUUUUGUAUAAUGGGUCAGCGACUUAUAUUCUGUAGCAAGGUUAACCGAAUAGGGGAGCCGGAGGGAAACCGAGUCUUAAUUGGGCGUUAAGUUGCAGGGUAUAGACCCGAAACCCGGUGAUCUAGCCAUGGGCAGGUUGAAGGUUGGGUAACACUAACUGGAGGACCGAACCGACUAAUGUUGAAAAAUUAGCGGAUGACCUGUGGCUGGGGGUGAAAGGCCAAUCAAACCGGGAGAUAGCUGGUUCUCCCCGAAAGCUAUUUAGGUAGCGCCUCGUGAAUUCAUCUCCGGGGGUAGAGCACUGUUUCGGCUAGGGGGCCAUCCCGGCUUACCAACCCGAUGCAAACUGCGAAUACCGGAGAAUGUUAUCACGGGAGACACACGGCGGGUGCUAACGUCCGUCGUGAAGAGGGAAACAACCCAGACCGCCAGCUAAGGUCCCAAAGUCAUGGUUAAGUGGGAAACGAUGUGGGAAGGCCCAGACAGCCAGGAUGUUGGCUUAGAAGCAGCCAUCAUUUAAAGAAAGCGUAAUAGCUCACUGGUCGAGUCGGCCUGCGCGGAAGAUGUAACGGGGCUAAACCAUG